AGAGGAAAUUAUAUUAGGUUGGUGCAAACGUAAUUGUGGUUUUUGCCAUUGAAAGUAACAGCAAAAACCGCAUUCCUGUAUGCACCAACCUAACAGA
ensembl:miRNA